AAUGAACGCUGGCGGCAGGCCUAAAACAUGCAAGUCGAGCGGAGCGGCGGACGGGAGAGUAAUGCCUAGGAAUCUGCCUGGUAGUGGGGGAUAACGUCCGGAAACGGGCGCUAAUACCGCAAACUAUCAGAUGAGCCUAGGUCGGAUAAGCUAGUGGGUGGGGUAAAGGCCUACCAGGGCGACGAUCCGUAACGGGUCUGAGAGGAUGAUCAGUAACACUGGAACUAGAACCCGGUCCAGCUUCCUACGGAGGGCGGCAGUGGGGAAUAUUGGAAAUGGGGCGAAAGCCUGUUCCACCCCUGCCACUUGUGUGAGGAAGGUCUUCGGUUUGUAAAUCUCUUUAAGUUGGGAGACGUUACCAACAGAGUAAGCACCGGCUAACUUCGUGCCAGCAGCCGCGGUAAUUC
rnacentral:rRNA from 1 species